rnacentral:rRNA from 1 species
CCUACGGGCGGCAGCAGUGGGGAAUAUUGGACAAUGGGGGGAACCCUGAUCCAGCCAUGCCGCGUGUGUGAAGAAGGCCCUCGGGUUGUAAAGCACUUUCAGUGAGGAAGAACGCCUGGUGGUUAAUACCCAUCAGGAAAGACAUCACUCACAGAAGAAGCACCGGCUAACUCCGUGCCAGCAGCCGCGGUAAUAGGGAGGGUGCGAGCGUUAAUCGGAAUUACUGGGCGUAAAGCGCGCGUAGGUGGCUUGAUAAGCCGGUUGUGAAAGCCCCGGGCUCAACCUGGGAACGGCAUCCGGAACUGUCAAGCUAGAGUGCAGGAGAGGAAGGUAGAAUUCCCGGUGUAGCGGUGAAAUGCGUAGAGAUCGGGAGGAAUACCAGUGGCGAAGGCGGCCUUCUGGACUGACACUGACACUGAGGUGCGAAAGCGUGGGUAGCAAACAGGAUUAGAUACCCGUGUAGUC